rnacentral:lncRNA from 1 species
GUCUUCCAACUGACAAAACAAACAGACAUAUAUCUGUUUCAACAGAUGACACAUCUGCUAAAAAUUAUCAAAUAGAUAUAUACACCUGUUGCAACAGUUGACUAACCAGUUGCACCAGAUAAACAUGUCUCAUCAGUAUUAGAAAAUCAAAUAGCUCUUCGUACCGCUUUUAUUUAUACCAACAGAUGAUUCAUAUAUUGCAACAGAUGGUUCAUCCAUUGAAAAUUAUCACACAGGGUCUUCCUCAUGUAGAAAUUUGUCCUAAUAGUUGAUUCAUUAUUGCAACAGAAAUAUAAUCUGUUUGGGAUAAUUUAGAAUGGGAGGAAGACCUGUUUGAUUUGCUAGAAGAGAUAAGUUAUCCCUUUUUAUUUUGUUGUAUCUCCGUGAUUAGCAUUGACCAAUUCUGUCUUUCUAUGUAGAUGUAGAAAAAGCUACUGCUGAACAACAUUAACAAUAUGCUACUCUUUUUAUGGAAAUACAAAGAACAGAAAGUGCAGAAAUUGUACGUAAGGGACAAUAAAGAUCCACGACGAGCAAAUCCGAAUUUCAUAGCUCCGGAUGAAGAACAACUUGUCCAUACUGAGUAGAUCUUUAUAGGUUGAGUUUGUCAAAGAAAUCCUUGACAGUAUACUUAAAUCGUUGUUGAUGUAUUUGUUGAGAUCUGUACCCAUAACAAUUUUUUUACAUUUUAUUUAUUUGUUGACUUAUUUCAGCUAAUUUAUGAAGGCUUCGAUUUAGUUUAUUUUGUCUAUGAAUUUUAUUUAUUCCUUAGAUUUGAACUUAUUAAUUGAAAAGGAAUACUAGAUUUAAAUAUUGUAACAGAUAAUAUAUCUGUUGCAACAGACGACACAUCUAUUGGAAAAUUCAAACAGAUUUAGACGUAUGCUGCAACAGGUAGGUGAUCUGUUAGAAUUUAUCAAACAGGUCUUCCCACUGAUGCAACAAAUGGACUUUAGAUAAAAAUAUCAAGAUAAUGCAAUAGAUGACACAUCUAUUGGGAAAAAAAAGAACAGAUUUAGACAUACGUUGCAAUAGAUGGACUUUAUCUGUUGCAACAGAUGACACAUCUAUUAGAAUAAUCGAACAGAUUUAUACAUAUGUUGCAACAAGUAGGUUAUCUGUUGGAAUUUAUCAAACAAGUCUUCCCACAAUUCCAACAGAUGAACUUUAGACAAAAACAUCGAGAUAAUGCAACAGAUGUGAGAUGACCAACCUAUUGCAUCAGAUAAACUAUAUGUCAGAACAGGUAGGAUAACUGUUACAAUGGAUGGAGAAUCUAUUGCAUUAUAAAAAUUCAACUUUUGUUGGACAUAAAAAAUUGCCACUACGUUUAAAAAGGUUAAAGUGAAUUGAAAUAAAAAAGGCGCAACCCAUCGAUGGUGUUCAGUUCAAACACCUAAAAUAAAAUAGGCAUCAAGUAGACAUGUUCAUUUUAAAGAUGUAAAAUAAAAUAGGCAUCAAAUGUGUUAGUGUCAGUCCUGACACAUUUUGCUGACUUGCCGUCACUUGGCCCCAACUGUCAUUUUUUCCCCCCAUUAUCUUAUAUAUUCACCUUCCUCCUAAAAUUUAACCCUAAAUUUCCAAAUCUUCUUUUUCAUCGUCAUCUUCUUUUAUCUAUCCAAAUUCUUCAAAUUAUUUCUUUCAUUUUUUCCAACUGACCUUGACAAUGUCGAGCGCAUCUUUCACUAUUUUUUGUGAUAAAGAUUUUUGAUAUUGUAAGUGCGGUCAUGAAGCUCUGUUAAAGACUUCUUGGAAUCAAAAAAAUUAGGGUCGUAGGUUUUUACUUGUAAGAUUUCAAAGGUAAUAUUUUUUUUAUUUAAUUAAUUGAUUAAUUAUUGACUUGUAAUUAUUUUGUAAUUGUGUUCUCUUUUUUAUAGAAAUUGGGUAGAUGCGAUUACUUUUAUUAAUAUGAAGAACGACACCCUUCAUAAGAAAAUCGUGUAAUCUGGGGUUUGUUGAACAAAGUCAAGGCUUCUGAAGAGAAACAAAAUCGAGCAAGAAGAUACUACAUUGUUGCCGUUAUUGCUACUGGUUUGGUAUUGUUGGGCACAUGGAUAUUGAAGCCUAAUUGCUAAAAUUUUCAUGGUGGUGUGUGUAUUUGCUACUGGUUUAUUGUCGACGAGCACAUAGAUAUUCAAGCAUAACUGUUGGAAAACAUCAAAAAGAUUUAGGUAUAUGUUGUAAAAUUUAGGUCAUCUGUGGAAAUUAUCAAACAGGUCUUCCCACUGUUGCAACAGAUUAGACUUAAAUUAUUAGAUUAUUCAUAGAAAUUAUCAAACAGGUCUUCCCACUGUUGCAACGUAUUUGACUUAGAUUAUUAGAUUAUUCAAACAAGUCUUCCCACUGUUGUAACAGAUUGACAAUCUAAUCUAUUGCAUUAUAAAAAACUUAACUUUCAUCAGAAAAAAAUUAUUGUCACUACAUGUACAUAUAAUAAAGUGAAGGACGACUUGAAAUUAAAAAUUUCUAUUUCACAGGCUCUUCUAUAUACACAGGCUUCAAGCGUCCAGUUAGUACCCCAUAAGCCCAGACCUCUUGCAGGUUUGCCACAGCGUUGUCGCACAAAAGAGUCAUUGGCUCGGAUAUUUCUGUGCCGGUCAGCAAACAUUCAAUGUGUGCAAGAGCGUACGAGCCUCUCACUUUAGCGGCAUCAUCUUUUGGAAUGAUCAUUCCCCUGUUUUGACAUUCAAAAUCCUAUGAUUUCUUCAUCAACACUUCCUUUGGCAAAUGAUUCAUCAGUUUACUCUCCCUCAACAAGAUGGGCAAUAGCACCAUCAGUGGCUCCACAAGGAGAAAAAGAUCAAAAUUGUCGACGAAAGGUAUGUUGGAGUCAUAAAGAUUGAUCUUUCCCUCCUCAAGUAGUAUCUCAACAUCCCGAUAAUGCAUGCCGUUCACGCUAAUGACUGCAAGAAUCCUUUUUGCCUCGGUCCAGCUCUUGCUGUGUGGAUUUGGCCUGUCCCCUCUAACAUAUCUUAACAUUUCUUCUUCAUCCAAGACCAACGUAAAAACUAGAAAAUCAAGUCCACUGCCAAGAGCUGAUGCCUCUCCAUUGAGUUGAUCGUACUUAUCCUUGAGCUUCUUGCAGAAGUUGAGGUCCAUUAUCCUAUCAGCAGCGUCAUAAGCUUCCCGAUACGUUAAUUGCCUUUUCCUCAUGAGGCAGAGAAUUAUGUCAACAUGUUGUGAGAUAAGAAGUCAAUUUUUAAAUAGGUUAGCAAUUGUAAAGAGUCAAUGGAUAGUCUAUCUGUUGCAUAGGGUUCUCUGAAUCAAUAAUCCAAUACAACUUAUGCAACAGAUGGAUAAUAAGUUGCAACAAAACCACAACUAGUUGCACCAGUAUACCUAGUUGUUGCAAUAGAUGUAAAAUCUGUUGCAUAGCUUCUUCUUCAUAGGGUAGAUUAGAAGGGCUAGGUUAGGAAAAGUAAACUUGUCUUAUCCUCGUAUGACAUACGUAUAUCAGUCAUAGUCUGGAAGUCUUGGGGGGAAAGGGAGGCCUGGGGUAAUCUAGUGUGCCUGGCUUGGCAUUCUUGGCCUAUCGCAGAUCCCUUUUCUCUUCGGCGCCAAGUCCCGCAUAUAUGUCCACCUUAUUGACUGGCCCCAGAACUUCAACAACUUUUGGAGAGGGAGGAAUUUCAAUUUGUUUUGAUUUUCGAGAGGAGAGAACGUCUCUAAUUGCUCUUUUCUUUCUCCUAACCAACGCUGUAGGAGUGUGUGGCUCCCUCACCUUUUUGGAUGGUAUGACACAUCUCUUGGAUGAAUUCCUCGAUAGCUUUAGAGGUGGCCUCUACUUUUUCAAAGAGUUUAUCAUGUCUGUCCUUGCAUUCAUUGCAUUCGCAACAAGAACAAGAGGGUGAAGAGGGACCUGUGUAAAGGCGAAAAGGGGUGUUCUCAAACAUAUUUAUUCUUUCUUGAGCAUCAACAUGCUCAUCAUCACGAGUGGUAGCAGCAUCAGCAUGCCUGCCACCAAUACCAACAACUCUACCAGAAGAAGCACCCGGAUCUGCCUUAGUAAAAGGUUGGUCAUGAAGAGCCUUAACAUUAGGCAGACCUUGCCUAACUGCUCUUCUUAUGGCUGUUGCUCCAGCCAAUUCCUUCUUUAUUAACUCCAUCGUUAGGUCUGCAAUAGUAUCAACAUGACCUAGAGUAAUAUAAGAAGUCAUCACCGACUCCUCCUCAGUAGGCACGAUCCAUGGAUGCACAACCUAUAAAAAAGAAAAAAAAGACAGAUGCAUUUAAAUCAUAUAAUAUAAUAAUUUUCAUAGUUGGGCUACACUUUCAAAAGAAAAGACCCAUCUAUUACAUAGUUUGCAGUAUAUAGUUAAAAUUCAUUUGAGUCUGGUUCAGAGAAAUAGAGCAAUACAUGGAUAAUCUGAUGCAAAAUAUCAAUCAUCUAUUGCAACAGCUACACAAGAUGGGUAAUCUGUUAUGCAACAGAUGAUCUGUAAGUCACAACAGAUGAAUGAUAUGUUAUUAGAUUAAACAUCUGUUGUAUAAUCUGUAGUAGAUAGUUAAUCUUUUAGGAGCCGGGUUCAGAGAAUCAAAGCCACAGAUGGGUAAUCUGAUGCAAGAUAUACCCCAUUGCAAUAGAUGUCCGAUCUGGUACAUCAAAUAUAACAUCUCAUACACCAGAUAUAACAUCUGUUCAAUAUCUUUCUUAUCUUUGAGUAGAAUUAUUUUACUUGAAGAAGACGUACUGCAUCAUUCGGAGAGUUAAAGAGAUCAGUCUCCUUAAUAUUGGUGUUGCUCUUUCCAACCAACCACCUAAACAUCCUUGGAUGAGAAAUUUCAUUCGGGUAAUCCAUUAACUGCUUUCGGAGGGGAGGAAUGGCUUCAAAUGCCCAAGCCUAAAAAGUGUAAACAGGAAGCAAGCAAAAAAAAUCAUAAUAACUAUAUUCAAUAUAAAUUAAUGAAUGAGUAAAAUUAGUGAUUAAUUUUACCAUGAAAGCCCAAGAAAAACCGUAUAAUGUGGUCGUCCCUGAGGAUAGCUUUGUCAGUAAAUAUUGGACAGUCAAGUAGAAGCUGUCAUAUCCCCAGAGAUAAUUGUUGAAUUUAUCAAAAUCCUCAGCACGAGCCAACAAAUCAUCUUCUAUAACCUUGUUGACGUCUCUUGCCAAUAUAACCGAAUGGGUAAACCAAACUAAGCACAAUUGCUCCCUGUACUGCUCUGGUAUGGUUUUAUUCUCGAGAUCUAUCAACAAAUCUGAUGCUUUGUAGCCACGUCGAGCAAUGUCAAACAACCCAUCUAUUUUUAUCUUGCAUUUUCUUUCCUUGGAUCUUUUGUAGGGUGGUGGUCCUUCUGGACGAUGGCAUCUCAGGACCGUCACUAUGGCAAACUCAUGCAAGCUAAAACAAACAGGCAUGCCACAGUAGUUGAUCAAGAUUUUAUCCAUCUUCUUUUUGCCCCCCUCCUUUAGAUCUUUAUCAUCCCUCGUAUACUUGAUCCUACGCUUAAGAAGACCAUAUAUCAUCAUCAUAGGGAAAUGGAUAUGGGAAGAGGGGUCCUCAGGUAGCUCAAGAAAGCAUCCAAAGCAGAUUUUCUGAAAAAGUUCGCUUAUGUUUUCGUUCUUCAUAAUUUUCAUAAAAGUUCAAAAAUUUUCCCCAUCUGACAUUUAAGUACAAGUUGACCAGUUAGUUGUUUUCCGUCUGGGUCAUUUAUCGGCAUCGCAACUUGAAACCUGUCAAUACUAAAAGUUUUGACUGGAUCAUGCUGGGAUGUCGAUAUUAACUCACACCCCUUCGGUGAUCCAUUAUCAUCAUAUUGAUGAUCAUCCUUUUUCUCUUUCUGACUCUCCGAUUCCUCCUCUUUCUCACUUUCAUUUUAUUUAUCACCAUCUAUGGACCCUUGUCUACCUCCUUCAAUGUUGUUUUCACAUCUCUCCUCAGCUUCACUUUUCCCUGACUGAGAUUGUUCAGGAAGCUCCUCCGAAACCCUCUAUACUAUAGCCUUUUUUUUCAGUGGUCAGACGCUGAUCCACUUUCACUUUCUUUUCUUUUGGGAGACAUGUUAUACCUACAGAAAAAGAAAAACAAAAAUUACAUUACAGUUGAUGUAUGCAUAGAUUUUAAAAAAUACAUUACAAACACCACGAAUACCGACACACCAACAGCCACCACCACAAACACCACCAACCAAUGCCAACAAACAAACAAACAGCACGAAUACCAAUACCACCAAAAACACCACCAACCAAUGCCACCACCGGUGCCACCAGGACGACCACAAACACCACCACCUCCACCAUCACCACCAACACCAUCCAAAUAUACCACGAUAGUCAACGGAACAGUGUGAUGGAAACUAGGGAUUUCUCAAGUUCUUCCUACAAUUUUACCAUCGAAACUCAAAAUUGUAAAUCCAUUCUCGAAGAUAAUACAACUAAAAGUUUAUUUUUCAUCAUUAACUUAAAAGCCCUUAUUUUUUUAAAAAAAAUAUAAAGCUCUUCUUGAACUCUGAUUCCUACGAAGACAAAGAAAACGACUGAUACAAGUAAGAAUGAUGUCAAAAAUAACACCUAUGUGAUCGAAAAUGAGAAUAAAAGCAAUCUGUUGUGGAGGGUUGAGCAAAUUUAUUGAGUAGUUAUUGUCUGUACUGUAUUGUUGAGUGAGAAUGGGAGAGAAAGAGCCAGACCUCGAGAUUUGAAAUGAUGAAACAUUUUGUAUGGGUUGAUUUGUACUUUGGAAAAAAAUGACAAGUAGUUUUGAAAAAUGUUAAAAUCUAUGCAUAAUUUUUAACCCUUUUAUAAAAACAAUUGAAGUUGUAGUUGACAGAGUACUCUAGGAGGUGACCCUGUGAAAACUCACCCCUGGUCCUAGAUUAAUCAAUUUAGGAGUCUAACAUAUGAACUCAAUUAAAAUUAUAAAAAAUAAAUGUUCAACAUGUUGCGUCAGAUUUAUCAUCUGUUAUAAAUUAUCAAUCAUAUUAGGUAACAACGGAUUACAAAUCUGAUGUAAAUUAUCAAACAGAUUAAGUCAUCUGUUGCGACAGAUUACCCAUCUGUUGUAAAUUAUCAAAUAGAUAGUCAUAUGUCGCAACAGAUUAUCCAUAUGUUGUAAACUACCAAAUAGGCGCUGCCAUCUGUUGUGGCUGACCCUAUGAGAACUCACCCCUAGUCCUAGAUUAAUCGAUUGUAUACCCUAUGAGAACUCACCCCUAGUCCCAGACUAUUCAAUCAAGAUAUUAGUACCCUAGUCCUAGAUCAAUCAAUUAAGGUAUUAGUCUAAUAUAUGAGGUAGUAAGAAUCGGUUUGGCUCAGAGUGAUCGAUCGCCGACUCUGGUCGGGAGGAACGCAGUACCAUUUCAUUAUGCAAUUGACAAAAGACUCAAUUGAAGUUGUAGUUAACCCUAUGAGAACUCACAUUCAAUUAAGGUAUUAGUCUAACAUAUGAACUCAAUUAAAUUAUAUAUAAACAAAUGUUUGACCUGUUGCAAUAGAUGUCUUUUCUAUUGGAUCAAAUAGAUUAUGUAAUCUGUUGCAACAAAUUACACAUAUGUUGUAAACUAUCAUACAGAUUAAGCUAUUUGUUGUGAUAGAUCACGAAUCUGUUGUAAACUAUUAAACAGAUUAAGUCAUCUAUUGCAAUAGAUUACCCAUCUAUUGUAAAUUAUCAAAUGGAUUGAGUCAUAUAUUGUAAUAGAUUACCCAUCUGUUGUAAAUUAUCAAAUAGGGGCUGUCAUCUAUUGUAGUUGACAUUAUAAGAACUCACCCUAGUCUUAGAUCAAUCAAUUAAGGUAUUAGUCUAAUAUAUGAGGUAGUAAGAAUCGGUUUGGCUCAGAGUGAUCGAUCGCCGACUCUGGUCGGGAGGAACGCAAUACCGUUUUAUCAUGCAAUUGAUAAAAAACUCAAUUGAAGUUGUAGUUGACCCUAUGAGAACUCACAUUCAAUUAAGGUAUUAGUCUAAAAUAUGAAAUUAAUUGAAUUAUAUAUAAACAAAUGUUCAACCUGUUGCAACAGAUGUCUUUUCUGUUAGAUCAAAUAGAUUAUGUAAUCUGUUGCAAUAUAGUACACAUCUGUUGUAAACUAUCAUACAGAUUAAGCCAUUUGUUGCGACAGAUCACGAAUCUGUUGUAAACUAUCAAACAGAUUAAGUCAUCUAUUGCAACAGAUUACCCAUCUGUUGUAAAUUAUUAAAUGGAUUGAGUCAUAUAUUGCAAUAGAUUACCCAUAUAUUAUAAAUUAUCAAAUAGGCAUUGUCAUCUAUUGUAGUUGACAUUAUGAGAACUCACCCCUAGUCCUAGAUCAAUCAAUUAAGGUAUUAGUCUAACAUAUGAGGUAGUAAGAAUUGGUUCGGCUCAGAGUGAUCGAUCCCCGACUCUGGUUGAGAGGAACGCAGUACCGUCUCAUUAUGCAAUUGACAAAAGACUCAAUUGAAGUUGUAGUUGACCCUAUGAGAACUCAUAUUCAAUUAAGGUAUUAUUCUAACAUAUGAACUCAAUUAAAUUAUAUAUAAAGAAAUGUUCAACUUAUUGCAACAGAUGUCUUUUCUGUUGGAUCAAAUAGAUUAUGUAAUAUGUUGCAACAUAUUACACAUCUGUUAUAAACUAUCAUACAUAUUAAGCCAUCUGUUACAACAGAUCACGAAUCUGUUGUAAACUAUCAAAUAGAUUAAGUCAUCUAUUGUAAUAGAUUACCCAUCUGUUGUAAAUUAUUAAAUGGAUUGAGUCAUAUGUUGUAAUAGAUUACCCAUCUAUUAUAAAUUAUCAAAUAGGCAUUGUCAUCUAUUAUAGUUGACAUUAUGAGAACUCACCUCUAGUCCUAGAUCAAUCAAUUAAGGUAUUAGUCUAAUAUAUGAGGUAGUAAGAAUCGGUUCAGCUCAGAGUGAUCGAUCGCCGACUCUGGUCGGAAGGAACGCAGUACCGUCUCAUCAUGCAAUUGACAAAAGACUUAAUUGAAGUUGUAGUUGACCCUAUAUUCAAUUAGGGUAUUAGUACCCUAGUCCUAGAUUCAUCAAUUAAGGUAUUAGUCUAACAUAUGAGGUAGUAAGAAUCGGUUUGACUCAAAGUUAUCGAUCGACGACUCUAGUUGGGAGGAACGCAGUACCGUCUCAUCAUGAAAUUGCCAAAAAACUCAAUUGAAGUUGUAUUUGACCUUAUGAGAACUCAGCCCUAGUACCAGAUGAUUCAAUCAAGGUAUUAGUACCCUAGUCCUAGAUCAAUCAAUUAAGGUAUUAGUCUAACAUAUAAGGUAGUAAGAAUCGGCUCAGCUCAGAGUGAUCGAUCGACGACUCUGAUCGGAGGAACGCAAUACCAUCUUAUCAUGAAAUUGCCAAAAGACUCAAUUAAAGUUGUAUUUGACCCUAUGAGUACUCACAUUCAAUUAAGGUUUUAGUCUAAUAUAUGAACAUAAUUGAAAUUAUAUAUAAACAAAUGUUCAACCAGUUGCAACAUAUGUCUUUUCUGUUGGAUCAAAUCAAACAGAUUAGGCAAUAUAUUGCAACAUAUUACGCAUCUGUUGUAAACUAUCAAACGAAUUACAUCAUUUGUUGUGACAGAUCACGAAUCUAUUGUAAACUAUCAAACAGAUUAAGUCAUCUGUUGCAACAGACGAUACAUAUGUUGAAACAGGUAGGUGAUCUGUUGGAAUUUAUCAAACAGGUCUUCCCACUGUUACAACAAAUGAACUUUAGAUAAAAACAUCGAGAUAAUGCAACAGAUGUGAGAUGACCAACCUAUUGCAACAGAUAAACUAUAUGUCAGAACAGGUAGGAUAACUGUUACAAUAGAUAGAGAAUCUGUUGCAUUAUAAAAAUUCAACUUUUGUUGGACAUAAAAAAUUGUCACUACGUUUAAAAAGGUUAAAGUGAAUUGAAAUAAAAAAGGCGCAACACAUCGAUGGUGUUCAGUUCAAACACCUAAAAUAAAAUAGGCAUCAAGUAGACACGUUCAUUUUAAAGACGUAAAAUAAAAUAGGCAUCAAAUGUGUUAGUGUCAGUUCUGACACAUUUCGCUGACUUGCCGUCACUUGGCCCCCAACGGUCAUUUUUUCCCCCCAUUGUCUUAUAUAUUUAUAUUCCUCCUAAAAUUUAACCCUAAAUUCCCAAAUCUUCUUCUUCAUCAUCAUCUUCUUUUAUCUAUACAAAUUCUUCAAAUUAUUUCUUUCAUUUUUUCCAACUGACCUUGACAAUGUCGAGCGCAUCUUCCACUAUUUUUUGUGAUAAAGAUUUUUGAUAUUGUAAGUGCGGUCAUGAAGCUCUGUUAUAGACUUCUUGGACUCAACAAAAUCUGGAUCAUAGAUUUUUUACUUGUAAGAUUUCAAAGGUAACAUUUUUUUUAUUUAAUUAGUUGAUAAUUAUUGACUUGUAAUUAUUUUGUAUUUGUAUUCUUUUUUUAUAGAAAUUGGGUAGAUGUGAUUACUUUGAUUGGUAUGAAGAACGACACCCUUCACAAGCAAAUUGUGUAAUUUGGGGUUUGUUGAACAAAGUCAAGGCUUCUGAAGAGAAACAAAAUCGAGCAAGAAAAUACUAUAUUGUUGCCGUUAUUGCUACUGGUUUGGUGUUGUUGGGUACAUAGUUAUUCAAGCCUAAUUGCUGAAAUUUUCAUGGUAGUGUGUGUAUUUUCUAUUGGUUUGGUGUUGUCGAGCACACGGAUAUUCAAGCGUAACUGUUGAAAAAUAUCAAAAGGAUUUAUGCAUAUGUUGUAAAAUUUAGGUCAUCUGUUGGAAAUUAUCAAACAGGUCUUUCCACUAUUGCAACAAAUUAGACUUAGAUUAUUAGAUUAUUCAUAGAAAUAACAUCGGCGUAAUGCAACAGAUAAACUAUCUGCCAGAAGGGAUUAAAUAUAUUUUGCAACAGAUUGGCAAUCUAAUCUAUUGCAAUGUAAAAAAACUCAAAUUUCAUCAGAAAAAUUAUUGCCGCUCCAUGUACAUGUAAUAAAGUGAAGGGUGACUUGAAAUUAAAAAUUUCUAUUUCACAUUCACUUGAAAUUAAAAAUUUCUAUUUCACAGGCUCUUCUAUAUACACAGACUCUUCUAUAUACACAGGCCUCAUGCAUCCAGUUAGUACCCCAUAAGCCCAGACCUCUUGCAGGUUUGCCACGGCAUUGUCACACAGAAAAGUCAUUUGCUCGGCCAUUUUUGUGCCUAUUAGCAAACAUUCUAUGUGUGCAAGAGCGUGCGAGCCUCUCGCUUUAGUGGCAUUAUCUUUUGAAAGGAUCAUUCCCCUGUUUCGACCUUCAAAAUCCCAUGAUUUCUUCAUCAACACUUCCUUUGGCAAAUGAUUCAUCAGUUUACUCUUCCAUAACAAGAUGGACAACAACACCAUCAGUGGCUCCACGAGUAAAAAAAGAUCGAAAUCGUCAAUGGGAGGUACGUUAGAGUCAUAAACAUUGAUCUUUCCCUCCUCGAGUAGUAUCUCAACAGCCUCCUUUUUUCCUCGGUCCAGCUCUUGCCGUGUGGAUUUGGCAUGUCCUCUCUAACAUAUUUUAUCAUUUCUUCUUCAUCCAAGACCAACAUAGGAACUAGGAAAUCAAGUCCCACGCCAAUGGCUGACGCCUCUCCAUUGAGUUGAUCGUAGCUAUCCUUGAGCUUCUUACAGAAGUUGAGGUCCAUUAUCCUAUCGGCAACGUCAUAAGCUUCCUGAUACGUUAAUUAUCUUUUCCUCAUAAGGCAUAGAAUUAUGUAAACAUGCUGUGAGAUAAGAAGUCAAUUUUUAAAUAGGUUAGUAAUUGUAAAGAUGUAACGGAUGGUCCAUCUGUUGCAUAGGGUUCUCUGACUCAAUAAUCCAACGCAACUUAUGCAACAGAUGGAUAAUAAGUUGUAACAGAACCACUACCAGUUGUAACAGUAUACCCAGCUAUUGCAACAGAUGUGAAAUCUGUUGCGUGGCUUCUUCUUCAUGGGGUAGAUUAGAAGGGCUAGGUUAGGAAAAGUAAACUUUCCUUGUCGUCGUACAGCAUACGCAUAUCAGUCAUAGUCUGAAAGUCUUGGGGGGGAAAGGGAGGCCUGGGGCAAUCUGGUGCGCCUGGCUUGGCAUUCUUGGCCUGUCGCAGAUCCCUCUUCUCUUCGGCGCCAAGUUCUGCAUAUAUGUCCACCUUCUUGACUAGCCCCUGAACUUUAACAACUUUUGGAGAAGGAGUAAUUGCAAUUAUUUUUAUUUCCGAGUGGAGAGUACAUCUCUAAUUGCUCUUUUCUAUCUCCUAACCAACACUAUAGGAGUGUGUGGCACCCUCACCUUCUUGGAUGAUAUAGCACACCUCUUGGAUUUGAAUUCCUCGAUAGCUUUAGAGAUAUCCUCUACUUUUUCAAAGAAUUUAUCCUAUCUGUCCUUACACUCAUCACAUUCGCAAUGAGAACACGAGGGUCAAGAAGGGUGAGAGGGACCUGUGUAAGGGCAAAAAGUGAUGUUUUCAAAUACAUUUAUUCUUUCUUGAGCAUCAAUAUACUCAUCAUCACGAGUGGUAGCAGUAUCAGCAUGCCUGCCACCAACACUAACAACUCCACCAGAAGAAGCACCCAGAUCUGCCUUAGUAAAAGGUUGGUCAUAAAAAGCCUUAACAUUAGGCUGACCUUGCCUAACUGCUCUUCUUAUGGCUAUUUCUCCAGCCAAUUCCUUCUUUAUUAACUCCACCGUUGGGUCUGCUAUAGUAUCAACAUGACCUAGAGUAAUAUAAAAAGUCAUCACCGACUCCUCCUCAGUAGGCACAAUCCAUGGAUGCACAACCUACAAACAAGAAAAAAAGACAGAUGCAUUUAAAUCAUAUAAUAUAAUAAUUUUCACAGUUGGGCUAUAUUUUAAAAAAAAGACCCAUCUGUUGCAUAGUUUGCAGUAUAUGGUUAAAAUUUGUUUGAGUCUGGUUUAGAGAAACAGAGAAACACAUGGAUAAUCUAAUUCACAAUAUCAAUUAUCUGCUGUAACAGUUGCACAAGAUGGGUAAUCUGUUAUGCAACAGAUGAUCUAUACGUCACAACAGAUAAACAAUAUGUUAUCAGAUUAAGCAUCUGUUGCAUAAUUUACAAGAGAUGGUUAAUCUUUUAGGAGUCAAGUUCAGAGAACCAAAGCAACAUAUGGGUAAUCUGAUGCAAGAUAUACCCUGUCGCAACAGAUGUCCCAUCUGGUGCAUCAGAUAUAACAUCUGUUGCACCAGAUAUAAUAUCUGUUAAAUAUCUUUCUUAUCUUUGAGUAGAAUUAUUUUUCUUGAAGAAGGCAUACUGCAUCAUCCAAAGGGUUAAAGAGAUCAGCCUCCUUAAUAUUGGUGUUGCUCUUUGCAGCCAACCACCUAAAUAUCCUUGGAUGAGAAACCUCAUCCAGGUAAUCCAUUAACUGCUUUCGGAGGGAGGAAUGACUUCAAAUGCCCAAGCCUAAAAAAUAUAAACAGGAAGCAAGCAAAAAAAAACAUAAUAACUAUAUUCAAUAUAAAUUAAUAGAUGAGUAAAAUUAGUGAUUAAUUUUACCAUGAAAGCCCAAGGAUAGCCGUAUAAUUUGGUCGUCCCUGAGGAUAGCUUUAUUAGUAAAUAUUGGAUAGUCAAGUAGAAGCUGUCAUAUCCCCAGGGAUAAUUGUUGAAUUUAUCAAAAUCCUCAGCACACGCUAACAAAUUAUCUUCUAUGACCCUGUUGACGUCUCUUACCAAUAAAACCAAAUGGGCAAACCAAACUAAGCACAAUUGCUCCUUGUACUGCUCUGGUAUGGUUUUAUCCUCGAGAUCUGUCAACAAAUCAAUGCUUUGUAGCCACGUCGAGCAAUGUCAAACAACCCAUCUAUUUUUUCCUUCUAUUUUCUUGCCUUGGGGAUCUUUUGUGGGGUGGUGGUCCUUCUGGAUGAUGGCAUCUCAAGGCUGUCACUAUGGCAAACUCUUGAAAGCUAAAACAAAUAGGCAUGCCACAGUAGUUGAUCCAGAUUUUAUCCAUCUUCUUUUUGCCCCCUCCUACGGAUCUUUAUCAUCCCCCGCGUACUUGAUCCUGCGCUUGAGAAGACCAUAUACCAUCAUCAUAGGGAAACAGAUACGAGCAGAGGGGUCCUCAGGCAGCUCGAUAAGGCAUCCAAAGUAGCUCUUCUUAAAAAGUCCGCCUAUGUUUUCAUUCUUCAUAAUUUUCAUAAAAUUUUUAAAAAAUUUCCCCAUCUGACAUUUAAGUACAAUUUGCCCAGUUAGUUGUUUUCCUUCUGGGUCAUUUAUCGGCAUCGCAACUUGAAACCUGUCAAUACUAAAAGUUUUGACAGGAUCAUGCUGGGAUGUCGAUAUUAACUCACGCCCCAUCGGUGAUCCAUUAUCAUCAUGUUGAUGAUCAUCCUCUUUCUCUUUCCGACUCUCCAAUUCCUCCUCUUUCUCACUUUUAUUUUAUUCAUCACCAUCUACGAACCCUUGUCUACCUCCCUCAACGUUGUUUUCACAUCUCUCCUCAGCUUUAUUUUUUCCUAACUGAGAUUGUUCAGGAAGCUCCUCCAAAUCCCUCUGUAUUGUAGCCUUUUUUUUGUGUGGUCAGACGUUGAUCCACUUUCACUUUCUUUUAUUUUAGGAGAUAUGUUUUACCUAUAGACAAAGAAAAACAAAAAUUACAUUACAAUUAAUGUAUGUAUAUAUUUUAAAAAAUACAUUACAAACACCACGAAUACCGAUACACCAACAGCCAUCACCACAAACACUACCAACCAAUGCUAACAAACAAACAAAUACCACGAAUACUGACACCACCGACAACCAUGACAAACACCACCAGCCAAUGCCACUACCAGUGCCACCACGACGACUACAAACACCAACACCACCAAUACCACAAACACCAUCCAACAAUACCACGACAGUCAACAAAACACUACGAUGAAAACUAGGGAUUUCUCGAGUUCUUCUUAUGAUUUUACGAUCAAAACUCAAAAUUGUAAACCCAUUCUCGAUUAUUUUUCAUCAUUAACUUAAAAUCUCUUAUUUUUUAGAAAAAAACAAAGCAAAUAUAGAGUUUUUCUCGAACUCUGUUGCCUACGAAGACAAAGAAAACGACCGAUACAAGCAAGAAUGAAGUUGAAAAUAACACCUAUGUGGUCAAAAAUUAGAAGAAAAGCGAUCUGUUAUAGUGGGUUGAGCAAAUUUGUUGAGUAGUUGUUGUCUGUACUGUAUUGUUAAGUGAGAAUGGGAGACAAAGAGUGAGACCUCGAGAUUUGAAAUGAUGAAACGUUUUGUAUGGGUUGAUUUGUAUUUUGGAAAAGAAUGACAAGUAGUUUUAAAAAUGUUAAUUUGGUCCGUAUUGAUCUUAAUUAUUUUUAAAAUCAUAGAAUAUAUGUGUAAUUUUUUACCCUUUCAUCAUGAAAUUUCCAAAGGGGUAAUUUAAUUGAAAUUGUAUAAAAAUAAUUGAAGUUGUAGUUCACCGAGUACUCUAGGUGACCCGAGACCCCAGGUGACCCUAUGAAAACUUACCCCUGGUCCUAGAUUAAUCAAUUUAGGUACUAUUAGUCUAACAUAUGAACUCAAUUGAAGUUGUAAAAAACAAAUGUUCAACAUGUUGCGUCAGAUUUCUCAUCUGUUGUAAGUUAUCAAUCAGAUUAGGUAAUAACAGAUUACGAAUUUGUUGUAAAUUAUCAAUCAGAUUAAGUCAUCUGCUGCGACAGAUUACCCAUCUGUUUUAAAUUAUCAAAUGGAUUAUCAUAUGUCACAACAGAUUACCCAUAUGUUGUAAAUUAUCAAAUAGACACUGCCAUUUGUUGUGGCUGACCCUAUGAGAACUCACCCCUAGUCCUAGAUUAAUCGAUAGUUUACCCUAUGAGAACUCACCCCUAGUCCUAGAUUAUUCAAUUAAGGUAUUAGUACCCUAGACCUAGAUUAAUAAAUUAAGGUUUUAGUCUAACAUAUGAUGUAGUAAGAAUCGGUUUGGCUCAGAGUGAUCGAUCGACGACUAUGGUCGGGAGGAAUGCAAUACCGUCUUAUUAUACAAUUGCCAAAAGACUCAAUUGAAGUUGUAGUUGACCCUAUGAGAACUCACCCCUAGUCCUAUAAUAUUCAAUUAAGGUAUUAGUCUAACAUAUGAGGUAGUAAGAAUCGGCUUAGCUCAAAGUGAUCGACCGCGGACUCUGGUCGGGAGAAACGCAGUACCAUCUCAUCAUGUAAUUUUCAAAAGACUAAAUUGAAGUUGUAGUUGAUCCUAUAAUAAAUCACAUUCAAUUAAGGUAUUAGUCUAACAUAUGAACUCAAUUGAAUUAUAUAAAAACAAAUGUUCAACCUAUUGCAAUAGAUGUCUUUUCUGUUGGAUCAAAUCAAACAGAUUGUGUAAUCUGUUGCAAUAUAUUAUGCAUCUGUUGUUAAAUAUCAAAUAGAUUACAUUAUUUGUUGCGACAGAUCAUGAAUCUGUUGUAAAUUAUCAAAUAGUUUAAGUCAUCUGUUGGGACAGAUUAUCCAUCUGUUGUAAAUUAUCAAAUAGGCACUGUCAUCUAUUAUAGUUGACAUUAUGAGAACUCACCCCUAGUCCUAGAUUAAUCAAUUAAGGCAUUAGUUGAAUAUAUGAGGUAGUAAGAAUCGGUUCGGCUCAGAGUGAUCAAUCGAUGACUCUUGUCAGGAGGAACGCAGUCCCGUCUCAUCAUGCAUUUGCUAAAAGACUUAAUUAAAGUUAUAGUUGACCCUAUGAGAACUCACCCCUAGUCCCAGAUUAUUCAAUUAAGGUAUUAGUUAAACAUACGAGGUAGUAAGAAUUGGUUCGUCUUAGAGUGAUCGAUUGAUGACUCUUGUAGGGGGAAUGCAGUACCAUCUCAUCAUGCAAUUGCCAAAAGACUCAAUUGAAGUUAUAGUUGACCCUUUGAGCUCAUUAAUCCAUCCAUAGUUCUACCUAGAUCAAUGUAGGUACUAUUAUUAAUCUUAACAUUAAGUUAAUGAGAACUCAUUUCAACUCAGAGUGAUCGAUCGAUGACUCGGGUCGAGAUGAAUGCAAUACUAACACCAUGCAAAUGCAAUGACUCAUUUGGAAUUGUAGUUGACCCUGUGAGCUCAUUCAUUCAUCCUUCAUUCCACCUAGAUUGAUGUAGGUACUAUUAUUAAUCUUAACAUUAAGUCAAUAAGGAGCUCAUUCUUUCCUCCCUAGUUCCUCCUAAAUCAAUUGCAAUAAAAUCUGUUGCAAUAUACAACUGAGCUGUUGGAGAAUUUCAAAUAGAUAACAAUAUCUGUUGCAACAUAUGACAUUUCUAAUUUAAUUAUCAAAUAAACAUUUGCAUCUGUUAUGACGGAUGACUGAGCUAUUGAAAAUUUUUAAACAGAUAUUGAUAUCUGUUGUAACAGAUGAUGUUUCUGAUUUAGUUAUCAAAUAGACAUUUCCAUCUGUUAUCAUAGAUGACUGAGCUGUUGGGAUUUUUCAAGCAGAUAUUAAAAUCUAUUGCAACAGACGACAUAUUAUUUGAAAAUAUUUUUUUUCUUUUAAUUUUAAAUCAAACUACUGUUCGAGUAGAUAAAGUAGUAGUACUACUAAAGGCGGUAAAAAAUGCUUCUUGGAUAACUCCAAAAUCUCAUUGAGUAGUCUUGUCCUGUCUUUUCAAUGUCACCCAUUUUUUUUCCUCGCGCCCCUUAAAUUAUUAGUAAAUAUUAAUUAAUGAAUAUUGAAAUCCCUAAUACUUCUUCCGUUUCAUAUUGACUUCGCACACCCAUUAAGAAAUUAAUUAGGGGUUUAUUUUACUACCAAAUUAGCCUUAUUAAUUAUGCUUUGAAAAGAUAAAUUUGAAUAAAUACACUUUGUUUGGUCAUUUAAUAUUAAGGGUAGUACAUCUAGAAAUUAGAAUUAUCUCAUCUCUCCUCUCCUCUCCUUCAGCCCUAAAUCUCUCAUCUUUUUUCUUUCUAUCCUUUUUAGGGUUAUCACAGCCUUUUUUUUCUCCUCUUUCUCAUAAAUAUUCGUUCAGAUCUAAACCGAUCGAUAUCCAUAUCUUAGAUUCCUCGACUAAAAUUGUUGUUUUGACCCCCUUUUGACAUUAAGGUAUGAUAUGAUUCACUAUUGCUCUUUCAUUCUCGUCUUCUUCUUGCAAGUUAUUUACAUCUUUUUUUAUCUAAUUACCAUUUUUUCAUAUCAUAUUUAUUUAAAAAUUUUGAAGGAACUUUUAAUUGUUGAAUAAACGAACCAAGAAUCUUUAUUACAAGAUGUGAAAAAAAGUUAUUAGUUGGGAGAAGUUUAAAAGCCUUGUUGGAAGUAUCAUUUUUUACGUAUUUUGUUUGUUUCUUUGUUGUUGAUGCUGUUAUUGAUGUUGUUGGUGGGGUUGGUAUUGUUGGAAUUUGUGAUGUGGUGUUGUUGAUAGUGGCGGAUCCAGGUUUUUUAGACAGUGGGUGUUUUUUUAGCUUAAAAAUAGUGGAGUCCAAACGAUCAACACAAGGAGUAAGGGAGAAAAAAACAAAAGAAAAUAUAAAGUGAAUAAGGAGAGAAGAGUUGGUUACCAAAAUUAAAAAAAUAUGUGCUGAGUGGGAAUUGAAAUCAAGACCAAAAGAAAUAAAUAGCCUUAAGCACCCAUAAACAACAACUAGGCUAACCAAACAACUCUUACUAUGGGUGCUCACUGAUUAGAUUAUAUACAACUUUUCUUAAUUUCCAUAUACAUAUAUAAAGUUCGAUACGAGUUCAGUCUGUGCUCGCGCACCCGAAGGACUCCAUGUGGGUCCGUCCCGGGUUGUUGAUGGUGUUGGAACAUAGGAUGUAUGCUUCUUUGUUGUUGAUGAUGUUGUUGGAAAAAAUGUUGUUAUUUUCAUUGCUGUUGAUAUUUUUUAUUUGUUGUUUGUAGUUUAUGUUGUUGUUGAUGUUGCAACAGACGGAGAAACUGUUGGAACAAAUCAAACCACCAGCAAGGCUGCUAUGUAUUCCAACAGACUUUAUAUCUGUUGCAUCAGACUCCAUAUCUAACGCAAUAGACUCCACAUCUGACACAACAGACUCCUCAUAUGAUGCAACAGACUCUACAUCUGUUGCAACAGAAGGAUAAUUUUCUUUCCGUUACAUAAAUUUUUUCCUUCUUUUUUAUAAAUAUAAAAGGAACUGAAAGUUGAUCAACUUUUGCCUGACCAUCACAAGAGGCUGCAGUAAAGAUAGGUUCAGAGAAAUAAGCUGCAUGCAGAUGAAACCACUUCAUAUGUGGGAGGUAUGUAUUACUGAUAUUGUUAUCGUAGAAACACAAAUAGAGUACACUAAUUUUGUGAAUGCUUUUUUGACCGAUUAGUCAUAGAUCAUUCAAACAAGAUAUUUGUAAUUUUACAGUUAAGUUUGGUAGGUACGAACUGAUAGGGCUGAUGGACCAUGAAUAUGGUUCUGAUACCUUGUUAAGAUUUAAUGUCGGAUGUUGCUCAUGUUUAUUUAUCAUGCCGUCUACAGACUUUCGUUGUGGCAAGCAUUUCUGGCGACGGUGUAGACUUUUGCAUGACGAAUAUGUUGUCCUCUAUAUGGUAGAAGAAUGAUCAAUCGUGCCCCUCCUUACUUAUCUUGGCAUGUAAAUGUGAAGAGUUCAAGGCAAAAUAUGAUGGUGUGAUUAAUACAGUUAAUGCAUUAACUACUGAUGUAAAGGAAUUGAUAUCUAACAAUAGUGUCAUUCGAUCAAAGAGGAUUUUAGUUUCAUUCACUCCAUUAGAGAUUAAGGCUAAUAGGAGAAAGAAAGCAAUUUCCAAGGCAUUAUUAAGUAUCCGGAAAAAAAUAUUCGGAUCUGACAAAGGUGAGAAGAUAAAAAAGGGGAAGGGAAUAUGAAGGAAAAACUGAAUGCUAGAUUUAGUUCAUCUUGUUUCAUUAUGUAGAGAUACCCCAUCUAAUUUUGAGUGCUUUUUCUUUUCAGAAUGGUGAGGAAGGCAGAAUCUCUCCAUCAUUAGUUAAUACCGGAAACAAGACAUCUGAUGUUAUUGAACCACCAAACUGCCCUGUGAAGUUUGAUAAUCCAGAAGAUAUCUUUGCUCGAGUUAGUCAACAGAUUAAACAAUCUCAAUCACUUGGUUUUUCUGCUGAUCAAUCUUGUCCGUUGAAGACAAGAUAUCAACAGAAUUGCUUAACACAGCGAAAGCUGAUAUCGAUAGAUUACUGAUUAUGUCUUCUCAAGACUUGUUUCUACUAAAAAACUGUUCUGCAUUGAGUGUUGCACUAUCCAUAGAUGCUGCAGCACAGGAUUUAUCAGCCGAGAGAGUAUUUUCCUUGGAAAAACUCAAAGUGAACCUUCCAUACUUCUCCUUGACCUUGCGAAGAGCUAAGAAGGACCAAGAAGAGUAUUAUAAGAAAGCUGCCAAAAAAGAAAGUGAGUGGUCCUCGUUGACAAACUCACAAAAGAUAAAGAGCUCUAUACUGAGCUUAACGAUCACAAUGACAAAAUGAUUGGACUGAAAGUGGUGGUGAAUUGACCACUUUAAGUUUGGUCAAAAGAUGCAAAGAAAAAGAGAGAAAAAUUGAGUUUGGCCAAGAAGUGUUUAGAAAAAUUGAUUGCUCUUGAUGAAAUUGAAUAAAUAGAUGACUAGCAAGUGAAACAGAUGCCACAACUGAUGGAAAAGAAAACUGAUAUAUCCAUCUGUUGCAACAGAUUUUCCAUAUGUUGUAAGUUAUCUGAAAGGUGGAAUAUAUUUUGCAACAGAUUACCAAUCUCUCUUUCCGAAAUACAAGAAAAAGAUAAAAUAUUGUAUUUAGAUCUGUUUUUUUCAAUUUACAUAUUCGAAAAGACACCAGUUUUAUUUAAUUAAGGGAUAUGAGCAGUCGUGGCUUUUUGUUUGACUAAGUUCAGUCCCUUCCAAUUCAAUCAUUUUAUAAAUAGGUCCCUCCGGCCUUCUCUCACUCCUCACUCACUCGUUCAUUCUACUAUACUUACAAAUAAUACUAAUAUGGCUGAUCCAAAUUCAUACAAGAAGGUUCAUAUCGAGUCCUUGCAGGAACUUCAAAGGCAGUUUGAUGAACUCUAGAGGGAUUUGGCCGACUUCGAAGCAAGGCUGGGGAGGGCCCAGUUGCUGCCGGAUGAAAAUUAUCAGUUUGACAAUAAUAAUAAUAAUAAUAAUAAUAAUAAUAAUAAUAAUAAUAAUAAUAAUAAUAAUAAUAAUAAUAAUAAUAAUAAUAAUAAUAAUAAUAAUAAUAAUAAUAAUAAUAAUAAUAACUAGGUUAUGUUUUUUCUUUCUUUUAGCGUAUGUAUUUUCCUUUUUUAUAUCCGAUCUACCUAUAAGGGAUUCAAAAAAAUCCAUAUAUAUGUAUAUGUUUGGUUUGGUUUGGUCGACUUUGAAUUUUUAAUUCUUAUUCAAAAUUUAAUCAUCAUUCUAUUUAUUCCCUAUUCUCAACAGGUUGGCGGUUGGAGUUAGGGAUUGAGCACUUUUGGCAACAGAUGGUGGCGAAAGUCAUGAUGAGAAAUUCUCCUAAAAAUAGUUCGCUAAUAAAUAAUAAGGAACUAAAUGAUAUUAUAAUCGUAAAAGAAAGAUUAUUUAAUUUUAAAAAGUCACAAUAUUGGAUUAAUUUAAUUAAGAUAUAUGAUGAUAUGAUUUUUAAUAAAAAAGUUAAUAAAUAGUCGUGACUGUGACUUUUGUCUAAGCACAUUCAACAAACAAAAACCAAAAACGCUUCUGAUGCAUCAAAUUCCUCAUCUGUUGCGACUGAUGAAUCAGUUAGAAGAAAUCAAAAAAGUUCCUUAAACAGAUGGUCAUUUUAUAGCAACAGAUGGUAUAUCUGUUGAAACAGAUGGGUUAUCUGAUGCAACAGAUAUACAAUCUAUUUUCAUAACUCAAUUAAUAAAAAUGGUUAUUAAAUAAACGGAAUGGUUAUUGAAAACAAGGUGUAUUCGAUUUUUAAAUUGAGAAAAAAGGUUAUUUAAAUUUAAUAAGUUGAAAAGUCAUGACUUGUCACAAUAAUAAAAAAACUCACCACCAGCUUGAUUUAAUUAAUUCAUUUAUUUUCACAGAAAAAAAUAAGGAAAUAAAUGAUAAACACAAUUUAAACCCUAAAAAACUCACCAAAAAUAUUCUUGUUUUUAAAUCUUCUUUAUUAAUUUAUAUAAUUAAAAAGUCAAAAAAUUUGGAUGUCAUGAAGAUAAUUUAUUUUUUAAAAAAUAUAUAUAUAUUAUAUGUUGCAACAUAUAUAUUAUCUGAUGCAACAGGUUAACUAUUUGUUGUAACGGAUGAUAUAUCUGUUGUAACAGAUGAUUUAUCUAACGCAACAGAUAUAUAAUCUGUUGUCCAACUCAGUGUAAAAAAACGGUUGCUGGAAAGAACUAAUUAUUUUAAUAAUUAUAAUGCUGAAAAGUCAUGACAUAAUCAGAAUAUUGCUUAAUUUAAUUAAAUCAUAACUUUUUACAGUAAUCAAGAAUGUCAUUAAUAAAUGGAGGUGAACAGUUGUUCCUUUAAAUCUACUUUAUUAGUUUAUAUAAUUAAAAAAUCAAAAAAUUUGGAUGUCAUGAAGAUAAUUUAUUUUUUAAAAAAUAUAUAUAUAUUAUAUGUUGCAACAGAUAUAUUAUCUGAUACAAUAGGUUAUCUAUUUGUUGCAAAUGAUGAUAUAUCUGUUGUAAUAGAUGAUUUAUCUUGAUUUAUCUUAUGCAAAAGAUAUAUUAUCUGUUGUCCAACUCAGUGUAAAAAAAUAAUUCCUGAAAAGAACUAAUUAUUAAUAAUAAUAAAGCGAAAAAGUCAUGAUUUAUCACAAUAUUGAUUAAUUUAAUUAAGUCAUAACUUUUUACAGUAAUCAAAAAUGACAUUCAUAAAUGGAGGUGAACAGUUGUGCCUUUAAAUCUGCUUUAUUAAUUUAUAUAAUUAAAAAGUCAGAAAAUUUGGAUGUCAUGAAGAUAAUUUAUUUUUUAAAAAAAAUAUAUAUAUAUUAUAUGUUGCAACAGAUAUAUUAUCUUAUGCAAUAGGUUAUCUAUUUAUUGCAACGGAUGAUAUAUCUGUUGUAACAGUUGAUUUUUCUAAUGCAACAGAUUAUAAUCUAUUGUCCAACUCAGUGUAACUAAAAAACGAUUCCUGUAAAGAACUAAUUAUUUUAAUAAUAAUAAAUCUGAAAAGUCAUGACUUAUCACAAUAUUGUUUAAUUUAAUUCAGUCAUAACUUCUUACAGUGAUCAAGAAUGUCAUUAAUAAAUGGAGGUGAACAGUUGUGCCUUUAAAUCUGCUUUCUUGAUUUAUAUAAUUAAAAAGUCAAAAAAUUUGAAUGUCAUGAAGAUAAUUUAUUUUUUUAAAAAAACAUAUAUUAUAUGUUGCAACAGAUAUAUUAUCUGAUGCAACAGGUUAUCUAUUUGUUGCAAAUGAUGAUAUAUAUGUUGUAACAGAUGAUUUAUCUUAUGCAACAGAUGUAUUAUCUAUUGUCCAACUCAGUGUAAAAAAAAUAGUUCCUGAAAAGAACUAAUUAUUAAUAAUAAUAAAGCUGAAAAGUCAUGACUUAUCAUAAUAUUGAUUAAUUUAAUUAAGUUAUAACUUUUUACAGUAAUCAAGAAUGUCAUUAAUAAAUGGAGGUGAACAGUUUUGAUUUUUUGCCUAACUCAUUCAAGUUCAAUCCUCUAUAAAUAGGUUCCUCCUUACCCAGUCGUUCAAUCUACUACACACUAUUUAUUCUUUGCUCUUGUUACACCUUCAACUACUUUCUCUUCAAGGACUUGAUAGCUUUUUCCUGCCUCUGGUAAGUUAUUUUCUUAAUUUUUGUGUAAAUAUUCGUUGUAUAUUACAUUACAUUACAUUCUAAUUCUUUCUUUUCUUACUUUUGUUUUUACGUGUGUUUUGUCAACUUAUGUGUUUUCUAGAUAUGACUGAUCCUGUGUGGAAUGUCGCUAUUUGAUGAGACGCCAUGCGGGAACUGCAAAAGGAGGUUCAUGACCAGCAUUGGGAGUUGGCCGCAGUCAGAGUAAGGAUGUUGCGGGAGAUCCGCAGACUAAGGAGGGCGCUGCUGCUGCCCGUUGAAGAUUGGCUGGCUGGCCAUACAAAUAAUAAUGAUGUUAAUAAUGAUGAAAAUAAUAAUUAAGCUUUUUUUCCUUUUAUCUAUGUAUUUUUGUUGUUUGUUUUAUAAAAAAUUAUGUUUGAUGCACUUGACUUUUUAUUUCUUAUUUAAUUUUCGUGUUGUCUAUUUUUAUUUCUUAACGAAUGACAUGUCUACAAUUAAGGAAUAAUUUGAUUCCAGUAUCAAUAGCAAGAACAUAUGAGUUAUCUGUUAGGUUUUAUGUGUGACAGGAGUUGUAUUUUGUAGUUCGAAACAUAGUAGUAAUCUGAUGAAACAGAUUAUUUAUCUGUUGAAAUAGAUUACUAAUCUGGUGCAGUAGAAUACCCAUCUAUUCGAUUCAUAUUACGGGCACCUAGAACCCUUAAACAUGAUUCAACAUGAGUCUACUAUUACAACAGAACAUUUAUCUGGUGACGCAGAUAAUGGAUCUGUUUAAACAGAUUGCUCUUGUAUUGCAUUCAUGUUCGCGUGCAAACUAUUGUUGAAAAAACAACACACUAGCAGUUACCAAGAUUCAACUAAAAAGCAUAAUCUGCCUUACCAAAGUCUCCUCUCAAGUAAAUUUCAAAGUUGAAAGUGAUUUACGAAACAAAAUUUGACAUAAGAAUUUGGUCAAAGAGCAGUAGUUGGGGUAACAACAACAACAACAAUGGUUAACCAAAAGAAUAUGAAGAUGAUAACGAAGUAUAAGAUGAUGAUAAUGAAUCAGAAGAUGAUGAAUAAAGCAGCAGCCAAAAUGAACAACAAAUAUCGUGAAGAGAGAGAAAAUAACAACGAAUGAAGAGAGAUAAAAAGGCGUCUUUUUCCCUUCGUUCCCCGUUAUGUAUUAACUAACAUUUGAAUCAAAGUGUAAAUUUAAAAACUUGUGGGUUAUUUUGAAAAUUUUCAAACUUUCUUAAACCAUAAUUAAGUAAUUGUCACCUCUACUCAAUUAUUAAGACUUGUGUCACCUACACCUCAUUUUAAAACUCUUUUGUCACCUGUGGCCCAAACCCCCAAGUAACAUGGUGGAAUAUAACAUUUCCAUGUACAUGUAUGAAAUAGAUAAAAUAUUACAAAAAGACUUUCAGAUACAUCUUGGUAAUAGCCAGUGUAAUACCAAAAAAUACACCAUAUUAUUGAUAAUAUUUAUGAAUUUUAAAACUUAUCAUAAGCACAUGAAAUCAUCAGUUCCUGUUACCAGGAGACAGGAGCUAUCUUGGUAAUCAAACUUUUUACCAUUUCAAAAAUCACAAGGAAAAGCUUUGGAGUACCUUCAAGAAGAAAGAAAAUACCAACAAUAAAAAAAUUGAGAGAAAAGCAAAACACAAAUAUCUAGCCAAAAAUAACAAAAUACAAAAAACCAAAUGAGACAGACUCGUAUUUAUCGUCAUAAUUGGGCAGAAUUACCAGAUGUUGAAGAAAGUAUAUAGAGGUACAAGUAUUUACAAGAAUUAUUAGUCAAUGUUGAUUAAAUCUCUUUGUUAUUGUGUUGCCUUGUUUCACUCGAUAGUUGACGAAGCACAAGGAGCAGAAUCAUCUGAAAAUACAAAAAACAGCAGCCUUCAAACAAGUAAAGUCAGACUAUGGCUUCAAGUAUUUGUCUUUACAUUCUUUACUCUUGGUGGACAAGCAGCUGGCAAUCUGUUGGGCACGGUAUACUAUAAACAAGGUGGACAAAGCAGAUGGAUUGCUACAUCGGCACAAACUGCUGGCUUUCCAAUUCUCCUGCCUUUUUUUUGCUAUCCUUCACCCAAAAAUCACGAUGAUCAACAACUUAGCAUUGAUCACCAGUCUUCUGUACUUGUUCGCGCUUCGGUUUAAAUCUUCCUUGGCUUAUUUCAAGUAGCAAACUCUAUGUUGUUUACAAUUAGUGUACAGUACAUUCCGGUCUCUACCUACUCUCUGGUUUUAAAAUUCUCAAUUGGUGUUCACCGCCCUCACUUCAUUCUUCCUCAACGGACAAAAAAUGACAGAAAUUAUACUUGAACUCCAUCUUGCUUUUCUCUUUCUCAUCCUCAGUCAUUAUUUUCCAAGAUGAGAUGAGUGAUAGCGGAGAAAUAUAUUAGAAAUCUCUGUUUAUAGGAUUUGCUGCUACAAAUCUAGAGUCUCUAGGUUACACUUUGCAGUUCUUGCUAACAAAAUCGGCGUUCCAGAAGGUCUUCAAAAGUGGCACAUUAAAAGUUGUCAUGAAAGUAUCUUUUUUUAUCGGUAUGUUAGUGACAAUUGCUUCUAGUAUAGGGCUUUUUGCAAGUGGCGAAUAGAAUGAUUUGGAAAAGGAAAUGAGAGAGUUCAGAUCAGGGAAAUUGUCAUAUGUUAUGAACUUGGUUUGGAUUGCCAUUUCUUGGCAGUUAUAUGUUGUUGGUUCAGUUGGAUUGACAGUUAAGUUAUACAUUAACUAAAACCAGCAACACAAGCAAAUCGUCAGCAAUAAUAAGUGAAAGAACAUUCUCACCAGCUAAUAGCAAGGUAUCAGUACUAUACCUCUUUCUGUGCAAAUCCAUAACGCUCGUCAAGAUUAGCACGAUAGCUUGGAAAUGGGACUUUUCUUGUAAUAAGUGUCUUUCCUCUGUUAUAAGAAUGGUUUUCUUCCAGAAAAUACAAAAGGCAUGGAUAGAAUAAUUUGAUAAACACUUUGCGUUACUAUGAUCACCAUAAAGUAGUGGUUUUCAAUGGUGAAGCCACAAGGAAAGCAAAUUUAUUUUCUAAAUAAGAGGGUGGAGCUGAUUUAUCUACCAGGUUUACUUUCUUCUUUCGUCAUUUUAAAUAUAGAGAAAAAAGAUGUGUCAUGUAACAUACAUGUAAAUUACUGCAAUUACCAUAAAACAACCAUAACAUUACUGGUACGUUCCCACAACUGAGGUCUGGGGAGGGCAGUGUUUGUAGACCUUACACAACCCUAGAUAAAGGAAACACAUGAAACCAACCUGAGUAUCCUGGACACUAUUAGUCAAGAAAGAAUUAGAGAGCUUAGCAACGACAACAUGCUUCACUCUUCCCCUGUCAAUUCACUUGAUCAACAUCCUUUGCAGCACAGAUACAGACCUAUAUCCCUAUAAAAUCAAAUCCCAACAACUUAAAUCAAAUGUAGGAAAACCCUUACAAGGAUAUCAUAUAUGCAGAUUAAGAAGAAAAAAGAGUAGACUUGAGUCAAACUGAGAUUGUAUCUGAGAGCAACUUAAGAAAACAAGUAUUCACAGGCUACAUACUUCCCAGAAUAAUUAAUAGAAACCAACAGAAAUGCUUCUUGAGUCAAACUGAGAUUGUAUCUCAGAGGAACUUAAGAAAUCAAGUAUUCACAGGCUACAUACUUCCCAGAAUAAUUAAUAGAAACCAACAUAAAUGCUUCAUGAUUAUUAUUGAAAAUCAAUGUGACGCAAACCUGAUCAACGCGUAUCUGCCAAAAACCAGAUUACUGCUUUAUAUCCAGCUUACCAAGUCAGUUAGCCGGUAAUCUUUCAGUUGCAAUGUUAGGAGAGAAAUAAAUAUUUCAAUCAUGAUCAGUAAUCAGUCAGCAAGUAGUAAUAGAAAAGUAAUCAAAAAAAUAAUAACAUUAUUACAACAUGGAUUAUAUAUAAUCAGAAGAAUUAAAAUAAUGUUAACAUUAAACUAUUCAACUUAUCCAUGGAUGGAAGAAGGAAUAAUAGUUUUGUCUUUAAAGGGAUAUCGCCAAUUCUAGAAAACCAGGGUCAUACAACAAAAAGAUAGCAUUAUACCUUUGAUUCAAAUCAAUGCCCCCACUCCCUUUUUUCCCCAUUUGAUAGGAUCUUUGAGAGCCGGUGGAGAACGGUUUGAGCCUCGGUGGAUAAUGAACCUUUCCAUUUACCAUUAAGGUGGCCUUACUUUAUAACCUUAGCCUCCCUUUCCUUAUAGUUUCCUAGUUCGACUAAGUGUAACACCCCGACAUCUUCUUAGCUAAAUUCUGUCCAUGGAAAGUCUAAGCAUUAGCUUCUAGAAUGAUCUAAAUUAUUUUUCAUAUGUAAUUUCCUAGAUUUCAACCUUUCAUUAAGUAGAUGACUGAAUUAUCUUUCCAACGAUAUAAGAUUCGUCAAAAAUGGACCCUCGGUGAAGAAGUUAUGAAUAAUUUAAAGUUCCAGUCGUAAACAUCGUCAUUUUGGGGUCUAGCGCAUCACGUAGAGGGUCAAAUUGACAAUCGUCAAAUUCCAGUGGGGCUCCGUGAUGGUGGCGCAUCGCGGAGGCACCCAAUUUCCCACUCGUCGAAUUCCAGUGGACCACCCCGAUUGUGGCGCGCCGCGGUGGUACCCAAAAUCGGGUUUUUAAGUUCAAAUUUCCAGUCCUAUUCAGGAGUCAUUAAGGUUAAAUUUGACUUUUCCCUAGCCUUUAAAACCGUCCAAACAAAGGAUUAGGGUAUGUUUGAGCAACUUAACCCUAUUUUCAUUAAAAUCAUCAAGAAUCCUCUUUAGGAUUUCAAAUAAGAACUUCAAGAAACCCAAGAUUCAACCGUGGAUUUUCAAAAUCGAUUGAAGAUUCAAAAUCCCCAGAUCAUAGGCUUCAAGAAGCACCCGCUAAUUUCGUAAAUAGAGGUACGUGGGGUUGUCCUAAAUUUCAUGGGCAUGUUUUCAUAAAGGAAUUUAUGCAAGACUUUAAAUUUAUACAAGUAUAUACAUGUUGUUACAAAUGGGGGUUUUCAAUUGAUACAAAUAACAUGUUUUGAUAUAUGAUUUUGAAAGAAUUAUUGAGAUAUCAUGGGGUUGUUUGUUUGAAUGUAUUUAAAUGGGGUUGAAUUGAACAUGUGACCUGAAAUUUCAAAAGGGUGCGAUGUACAUGAGCUAUGAAUUUUCUAAAUGACCUGAAAUUUCAAAAGGGUGCGAUGUACAUGAGCUAUGAAUUUUCUAAAUUCCCCAUGUAAUGUUUAUACCCCAUAUUAUACUAGUGUUAAACCACUGAGAACAUGAGUUUUGCAAUUGAUAUGACACUACUCAUAAAUGAUUAAACUUCUUGAAUAAUUGCAUGUUGAGAACCAUGGUGUAUGUGUUUUAAUGGUGUGAAAGUCAUACAUAUGUGCAUAUGGUAAAUGGUAUGAGAAGUUGGAAACUGUGUUUGCCGACUCAAGAACUUGGUACCCUACUGUGUAAUGUUGUUUACCUGACAUUAUGUCAUCCUAAAUUAGGACUAUGGUUAGGAGCCCUGCUUUGUGAUCUUGUGCACUACCAUACUUGAUUGGGUUGAGACACCCUGCUGUGUGAUCUUGUGUGUCUUUCCCUCACUUAUACUCUAAUCUCGACGGCAAUCGAGAUUUGACAGUUGGUGAAAAUAUGAAAUUGUAGGGUGUACCACAUAGCUCAGAUGUGUUGCAUUGUUGUUGAAAAAUCAGUAUACUAUGCCCAUUUAUUUUUGAAAUCAUUUUGCAAUAAUGUGUUUUAUAACAGCUCUUAUUUAGUUUAUAUAAAAAUCUCUACUAUGUUUUGGAUUACUCUACGUACCAGUACUUUGUAUUGACCCCCUUCCCUCCCAGGUUCGGAGGCACAGUCUAGGGAUCCAGAAAAUUAGUAGAUUCUUUAGAUAGUUUUUUAGAGACAAGUGGUGAGCCUUCUAUAUUUCGGAAGGCCUGAUGUCUGGCAAUUUAUUUAUCAUUUAAUAGUUUUGGGUCUACUGGGGGCCUUGUCCCAGUUUUCAAAUAGUUGUUUGUUUUAGUCAUGUAGUAGAGAUUUCGCAGACAGUUUUCAGAUGUCGAUAGAUGUUGUGGGACAUGAUUUCCCAUUAUUGAUUUCAUUGGACUCGUGACCAUGAUUUCGUAGUAUUGUGAAUCUUUCACAUUUAAUUUAUCAUAUGAAUUAUGUACAUAAUUACCAGAUAGAUAGGGGUGUUUCGGGCCUUCAUGGUUUGGAAUGCUCAUUACGGUCGGGCCCCCAGUUUGGGUCAUGACAAAUUUGGUAUCAAAGCACGGUUCAUGGUCCCAGGGUAUCUGCAAAAUCGCGUCGGGUAGAGUCUUAUUUAUGGGUAUGUAGAACGCCACACUUAUAAGCAGGAAGCUACUUGGCGUUUAGGAAAUAUUUCCCUUCUUUGUGAUUUAGUUCGUGCUUCAGAGUCAAAUCUAUUCCUAAUCAGUAAUCUUCUGUCUUAAAGAAAUAACAGCCAUGCCUCCUCGUCGCAAUACUAAUCAGAGUGCUCAGAAUGAUGAAGUCCGUCCUACUCAUGGGAUGAGGACACAUAACAGAGCUCCCACCCCAGACCCUGUAUCUACUUUGGGAGUCCCUCCAAUCCCAAACAGUCCACCUCGGGCUCCACAAACCAAUGUUAACCGUCCCCUGACUGCACAGAGGGAUAUUUCAAAUGCCGAAUUCAGACAGUCUAUUCAUAUGCUGGCACAGUUAGGGGAUAAUCAAUCUCAAUGAUCAGAAGAUGCUGGGUCUGCAUCAGUGAAAUCGGAGGCUACUAGGGUGGGACAGUUUAUGAGAAUAAACCCACCCAAGUUUACUGGCACUAAGGUAGAAGAAGAUCCACAAGAAUUCGUAGAUGAAAUGGAGAAAAUUUUCAAAGUGAUGCAUAUGGAUCAGAUUGAAGGUGUUGAGUUGGCAGCCUACCAGCUGAAGGAUAUGGCAAACCAAUGGUACAAUGAGUGGGAGGAUGCAAAGGGUGACGGUGCUGAGCCCACAGUUUGGGAUGUGUUUGUAGAAGCUUUCCUUGAUAGGUUCUUUCCUCUGGAGCUGAGGGAAGCUAAAGCAGAGGAGUUCAUGAACCUCAAGCAGGGUAAGAUGAGUGUGCAGGAGUACACUUUAAAAUUUAAUCAGCUGGCCCGUUAUUCUCCAGAGAUGACGAGCAGUAUGAGAUCCCGAAUUAGAAAGUUUACUUUCGGCCUUUUAGAUAAUCUGGUGCUUGAGUGUCAGGUAGCUAUGAUAAACAAGGAGUUGGACUUUGAUAGGCUGACAGUUCACAGGCAAUAGGUAGAGGAGAAGAUAAAGAAGAUUUCUGAAUCUAGGGAGAAGGAAAGACAGUCAAAAAGAGCCAGAUCUGCCAACCAGGGACACAGUCAACCUCAAAGCGGUAAGUGGGGAAAUAAAUAGCAGAAGAAUAAGAAUUGGGGUAAUGCACAGUCUGCUACCAGCGCCCCAGCGCCUAGACCACCGACAAACAGACAAUCUCAGAGUUUUUAGACUCACCAUAGAUUUAGAUCCCCAGUUACUCAGUCGUAGGGCAGUAUGGCCUAGCAGCGUCGUACUUAUACGUGGUGUGAGACUUGUGGAAAGAAUCACCCAGGGAAGUGUUAUUUCGAGGGGAGAAAUUUUUAUUCUUAUGGGAAGGUGGGUCACCUUCAGAGAGAUUACCCUUCUGCUGGAGGAAAUGCAGGGGGAAGGAGGGGGCUAAGUCCCAAGCCGCCUCCACGGCUCCUCCUCCUAAGGGUGCCCCUUCAGCUAUCGGGAGCGGUCGCAACCGGUUAUAUGCUUUGACCAACUUCCAGGAGGCGGAAGUUUCCCCAGACGUUGUCACCGGUACGUUACAAAUCUUUUCCCAUGAUGUUUAUGUGUCACUUGACCCCGAGUCUACCCUAUCCUAUGUGACCCCUUAUAUGGCUGUUGGUUUUGGGUUUGAGCCCGAUAUGAUUUCUAAACCUUUCUUUGUUUCCACUCCUGUGGGUGAUUUUGUUAUAGCUAGAAGGGUGCAUAAAAAUUCUGUAGUAUCUAUUCUUAGAUGGGAUACUGUGGCAGACCUCAUAGAACUCAAUAUGGUUGCUUUUGAUGCUAUCUUAGGGAUGGAUUGGCUCCAUUCGUGCUAUGCCACGUUAAAUUAUAGGACUCGAAGAGUCACUUUUUCUUUCCCAAAUGAGCCAGUGAUAGAAUGGAAGGGACAUUCUUUACCACCUAAAGGGCACUUUAUAUCCUAUCUCAGGGCCCGGAGACUUAUUUCUAAAGGUUGUUUGUAUCACCUUAUCUGGGUUAAAGACUCUAAUGCAGAGGGUCUUCCUCUUCAGUCUGUCCCUGUAGUAAAUAAAUUUCUAGAAGUCAUUCCAGAUGAUCUCCCAGGAAUACCACCUGAUAGGGAGAUAGAGUUUGGUAUUGAUGUGUUGCCAGAUACCCGCCCUAUCUCUAUUCAGACAUAUAGAAUGGCUCCUACAAAACUAAAAGAGUUGAAGGAACAGCUAGCAGAUCUUCUAGAUGAAGGUUUUAUAUGCCCCAUUGUGUCACCUUGGGGUGCGCCUGUACUCUUCAUGCGAAAGAAAGAUGGUUCCCUUCGUAUGUGCAUAGACUAUCGUCAGCUGAAUAAGGUCACGAUUAAAAAUAAGUAUCCUCUUCCUAGGAUUGAUGAUCUUUUUUACCAGCUUCAGGGUGCUAGAUGUUUUUCAAAGAUAGACCUUUGUUCGGGAUACCAUCAGUUGAAGGUUAGAGGGUCAGAUAUUCCUAAAAUAACUUUCCAAACCAGAUACAGUCAUUUUGAAUUCUUAGUCAUAUCCUUCGGAUUGACUAAUGCCCCUGCAGCUUUCAUGGACCUAAUGAAUAGGGUUUUUCAUCAGUUCCUGGAUCUGUUUGUGAUAGCAUUCAUUGACGACAUCUUGAUUUAUUCCAAAAAUGAGGAGGAUCAUGCCACACACCUCUGAAUUAUUCUUCAGACUCGUAAAAAUCAUAGCUUGUAUGCGAAAUUCUCCAAGUGUGAAUUCUGGAUUAAUGCCAUUGUGUUCUUGGGUUAUAUCGGGUCUAGUAACAGUAUUAGAGUGGAUCCCCAAAAAGUUAAAGCAGUAAGAAAAUGGCCCAGACCCGCGACUCCAAUCGACAUUCGGAGCUUCUUAGGUUUGGCGGGUUAUUACAGAAGGUUCGUAGAGAGUGUUUCCUCCAUAGCUGCUCUGCUCACUAAAUUGACUCAGAAAAAAGGUAAAGUUUGUGUGGUCUAACUUGUGUGAAAAUAGUUUUGAGAAGUUAAAGGACAAACUGACUAUUGCUCCUAUAUUGACUCUUCUCGAGAGGGUAGAUGGUUUUGCGGUAUACUGUGAUGCGUCCCGUGUGGGACUUGGUUGUGUUAUGAUGCAGCAUGGUAAGGUGGUAGCUUAUGUGUCCAGGUAUUUAAAGGUGCAUGAGCGAAACUACCCCACUAAUGACUUGGAGUUAGCAGUCGUGGUGUUUGUACUUAGAAUUUAGAGGCAUUAUCUCUAUGGAGUGCAUGUUAAUAUUUAUACUGACCACAAAAGUUUACAGUAUGUUUUCUCGCAUAAAGAAUUGAACCUCAGGCAGAGGCGUUGGAUGGAGCUUCUGAAAGACUAUGAUAUGAGCCUGCAUUACCAUCCGAACAAGGCAAACGUUGUAAUCGAUGCUCUCAGCAGGUUGUCUAUGGCAGCCUUUCUCAUGUUGAAGAGGGGAGGAGAAAGAUGGUGAAAGACAUUCACCGCCUUACAAAUAUAAGAGUAUGACUCUUAGAUUGCAAAGAUGGAGGGGUGGUUAUUCAUGAGAUAGUUAAAUCCUCCCUUUGUGCUGAAGUCAAAGAAAGGUAGGCCGAAGAUCCCAUCUUGAUGCAGAUUAAGAGAGAUGUGGGUCAACAAAAAUUAAUGUCGUUUGAGAUUGGUGGUGAUAGUAUUAUGAGAUAUCAGGGUAGAUUGUGUGUGCCUGAUGUAGAUGGGUUGCGGGAAAGAAUCCUUAGCGAGGCUCACACGUCGAGGUAUAUUGUUCACCCAGGCUCUACAAAAAUGUAUCAUGAUUUGAAAAUCAUUUAUUGGUGGAAUAAUAUGAAGCAUGAUGUGGCUAAGUAUGUUGCCAACUGUUUGAAUUGUCAGUAACUCAAGGUGGAACACAUGAGGCCAGGUGGUACUUCUCAAGAGAUAGCAUUGCCUUUAUGGAAGUGGGAGAUGAUCAAUAUGGACUUCAUUACAGGACUUUCGAAGUCCCGAAACCAGUAUGAUUCUAUAUGGGUAAUUGUAGAUAGGCUGACCAAGUCAGCGCACUUUCUGCCUAUCAGGACUAACUAUUCGGGAGAGGAUUAUGCUAAGCUGUUCAUCGCAGAAAUAGUUCAUUUUCAUGGGGCACCUGUGUCUAUCAUAUCCGAUCGAGGUACGUAGUUUUCUUCUCAGUUUUAAAAAUCUUUUCAAAAAGGCUUAGGUACCCAAGUGAACCUAAGUACAAUAUUCCACCCUCAGACUGAUGGGCAAGCUGAGCGCACCAUUCAAACCCUUAAGGAUAUGUUGAGGGCCUGUGUAAUUGAUUUUAAAGGUAGUUGGGUGGAGCACUUGCCAUUGAUAGAGUUCGCGUAUAAUAACAGUUUCCAUUCUAGUAUUAAGACGGCGCCAUAUCAAGAAUUGUAUGAGAGAAGAUGUAGAUCACCAAUAAGGUGCUAUGAAGUGGGUGAGAUGCAGAUGUUUGGACCUGAUCUUGUUCAUCAAGCGAUGGAAGAUGUGAAGCUUAUUAGAGAACGACUUAAAACAGCUAAGGGUUGUCAGAAAUCCUACGCUGAUGUUUAGAGGAAAGAGUUAGAGUUUGAGGUUGGAGAUUGGGUAUUUCUUAAGGUUUCUCCCAUGAAGGGAGUUAUGCGAUUCGGGAAGAAAGGUAAGCUGAGUCCUCACUAUAUAGGACUAUUUUGAUGAAAAAAAUUUACUUUUAAAAGAGUCGCCACUUAAUUUUGAAAAAAAAUUAAAAAACCUUUAGAGAGGUACUUAAAACGAUUUGAAACAAAAAAAUUAUUUUAAGUUAGAGAUUCUAAGUAAGUGGUUCCUAUUAACAUUUUAGGAAAGUGUUAGGCACCUAAAACUUCCACUAACUUGCGGUUAUCCGGACUGUUGAAAAAUCGUCUUUGAUUAACCUUAAAAAAAGUUGAUUUUUGAAAAGAAAAGCGAUUUUAGAAAUAUUUUGGUGUUUAUGCAAAACCAAUUUUUAGCGACUUAGUUUGGGAUUUUAACUAAGUUCGCAAGAAAACACAUAAAAUAAAUUAGCAAAAGUAAAAGGGAAAGGGUAGAAGCAGAAGGACUUGAGCCAUUAGGCCCAAAUCGAAAACCCUGUCCUAAUCUAGAUAUUGGUCUUUCAGCCCGUCUUCUACCUGUCCUAAUUCUAUGUUUUCGAGCCUUUAGCUCGAGUCUCGCUUCACCUGUAUUAAGUACAACUUUGGCUUCGAGGCCCAAAUGAAUAAAUAAGGAAAUAAAUAAAUAAAUGAAGACGACAAUAAGUAAAUAAACCAAAAUAAUAAAUGAGACUUUGGGGUCUCGUAGCCGCUUCAAGAAUGGGACUUUAACCCGUUUUCCUUUCGACUCCUUGCAACUUCGUAUGCCAUGCAAUGGAUUCUUGGAUUUUUCUUUUGGGCUUGAUUCAAUGAGACGGGCCUCAAUAGCCCAUUAAGGAAAUGCAAGAAACAAGCCCGUUUGGACUCCGAGGUGUAUUCAUGCAAAGAAAGGAAAAGACAAAAGAGCGAAUUAAUGUAUAUUCUCAUAAAUUCUGCACUUGUAAAUGAAUUAUGCGAUGAAGAAGACAACAUUUUAAACAAAAGAACACACCAAUUCACUUACUACAUAUAGACACAUGAAACCAUAAAAUUUAUACGAACUCUAGGAAUAUGAAACACAUGGCUUGCAAGGUUGAAGAAGAACUUUCAUCGACUAAUGAUUUCCAAACAAUCAAUAGGAUAAGUUAAAAUAGGAAAUUCUCAUAAUUGCAAGCAAACAACGUUAACAGAUUGUGUAUUAAGGUUAUAGAAAACUUUGGUGACUCAAAAAUAUAAACUAAAAGACUUAAGAAAGAACUUGUAACUUUCAACGGAAUAAAGAAACUUGUAAAAUAUUUCUUUACCCUGGUUUGACAUCUUUUGUCAAUAGGAGCAUUAAGAAUGAGAAAGGCCAUGACCAACUGAUAAGGAACCAAAACAAACAUAAAAAAAAGGACAGUUAAUCAGACCAUAGUGUUCAAGCACACGUCUGCAAUGAGUUUAUAACUAGCAACGAGAAGAGAAAGAAAAGCCUAGUGUCGCAGCAAUUUCGUUAGUAAAGUUUGGAACAUAAGUCACAAAACUAAAGCGUUAAACUUGUUAUUAGGCCGAGAAAUACUAAAUCAAAGGGAAGUUGUACAUGAAUUCUACAUCAAACAAGGAUAGCACUGAAAUGGGGAUCAAAAUUAAUAAUGAAAAGUAUGAAAUCGCGACGUGAAAUAGGCCGGGUAAAAGAAAAAAGAAUCUUCACGAUAUGUUAAACAAGUUUUGGUAGUUAAUAAUUAAUAUUAUCGUGACACAAUACUCAUUAAGUCGCACCACGAUUCGUUUUAUCAUAAAGGAACCUGACUAUUUCGAGGACCUAAUGGCCCAUUUUUUUUGACAAUAGGUAUUAGCAUGUCCUUCGUCAACUUAAAUGGAAGACACUUUCCUCAAGACAUUUACACCCGUUUAGGCCGUAUGACAGUAGAGAAACCCAAAAGAAAAACGUAGCACAAACUUGAAACCACAAAAUUCAAUUCUAAUGCGAAAUCAGCGAAAAGGCGUGAACUUUAACCCUUUUUUAGAAUAGGAUAUUAGCAGCAAUCCUUAGGCUAGAAGCUCAUCAUUCAAGCAAUACAGCAUACACGUAGCCGAAUUCAAGGAAAUUUUCAUCAAAAGAAAGAAAAAGAAACAUUGUAUGAACAAAAAAGCAAAUGCUCCCAGAUGAAUCAUAACAAAAUCAGAAGUUCUGAAAAUCAAUAUGUCCUAAAUUCGGAAACGACAACGAAGUUUGAAAGCUCACAGUUUAUAUAAAACCUGGAGCUUUCAUAGCCUCCCAGUGAGCUACACCCAGUACUCAAGACUAUAAAACUACAACUACGAACAGGGCAACAAGGGGAUGAAAAUUAUUAAGCGAUAAUCACAACAUGAUCUUCAACUACCUCAAACCACAGAAAGUCCACAAAAUGAUUCAUUAAGACGACAAUUAAUCAGUAACGCCAAGAAUAGAUGACCAAUCACAAAAUCGAGACAAAGACGAUGAUGGCACAUAUCAGACAAUCAAGGUAGAAAUUAAUCCUAAUGUAGCAAUACAAACAGCAUCAUCUUUUGCAAAAAGAGCAACCUAUGAUCUUUAAAAAUUUCUACAGCAAAAAAUUCCUAGCGCAUUACUGUUAAAGUAUUAAUAACCAAAGAACGACUAAUAUGGAGAAAUGAGAUGAACGAGAAAGUGACAAUAAAACUAGAAGGGAGAGAUAUGUUUACCUCUUUCGGGGCAGCAAACGGGACGAUGAGCUAUCAGUAAAAUCAUCACUACCGGAAUCUCGAGACGUCGACCAUCAAUAGAGCGCCCCUUUGCUUUUCCUCUUAGAGAUUUCGAAACUAGCUUGGAGAGAAGAGAGAAGAGACCCCCAAAACUUCUAUGAAAGAACCCUAACCCCCAGACUUUCUAACCCCCUUUCCUCAGCUCUCUGUGAGCUUUUUUACAGAAGGGGUUGAGGGCAUUCCAGGGAUUUUUGAAAAUAGCCCAUUUGAAAUUCGAAACCCUCCCUCCAGUUCUAUUUUGCCCUCAAUUCAUACCUCUUCUGGAAUUGAUGUACCACUAGGGUUUGGGGAAAAUGGAUUCUUUCCCAAAACCAAUGGAAAUCAGCCAAAUAAUGUACGAAAACAUACGAGUACCCCAAAAUUUGCAGAAUUUAUCUGUUAAAGGGUUACUUACACAUCUUCUAGAGGAUUCUCGGAACCCCCAUGGUACGAAACCACAUGCUACUCACGUGGGGAGUACGAUCGGAGUAAGGGAGAGGAGAAACAGGGUAUUUUGUCGGGUCGAAGCUGAUUGGAAUUGGGUUGGAGCUGAAGUUGUUCGUGGGUUCCUAGUGAUUAUCGAUGGUGUUGCUGUUUUAGAGGAGAAGAGGGAUCUUAGGUGGGCCGGUUCAGCCGGUAUGGAUUGGCCUUGGGACGGUUAGUUAUUAAUUUGGGCUGCUAACAUUAGGGAAUUGGGCCUGGGGUAGUGCUGAUUAAGUUGGGUGUUAAAUGUAGCUAGGGUUGGAUGGUUGUUGGAGUGGGCUUGGGUAUGGAGUGGGCUGAUG